AGACGUCUUUCAAAAGUUGACUUUAAGACGUCUAGAAAAAGACAUUUUGAAAUCGACUCGACUGAGCGCCACUGUAGUAAGCGAGCACCGCUGUCACCGCUGCUGCAUGUAGCGCCAAGCGAGAGUCAUCAAGUUUCUUGCAAGAGUCAAUCCGCGUUGUUGUAAUCCUACCCGUCUGUCGGGUGCUGUCGGGUCUUGUGCUUAUUGAAUAAAGACUAUUAGCUGCAGCCGUUCGGACAUACAAAAUUCUCUUGUACUCUCCGCUAUUUUUUAUUAUCCAUCGGAGCGUGUGCAGCCAUACCGGUCAUAUGCGAUUGCCAUUGUGAGCCGUUGUUGAGGGACAGACGAGUCGUGAAGUAGGACUAUAUUUUGAGAUCAGUGGUGCCGAAGCAGUUAAAAACACUGGACAUAUGUGUAUCGAGAUUUCUCUGCCAAAGCAUUUCCAAUCCAUGGUAUUUAUGUCGGUGUCGAGGUUGAGUGGCACGAAAACUGGCAGAGUCAUAAAGAACUUUACGUGACGGAGAAAAGAAGCUACAACUGAACAUAUUUACUACAAAAAAGAACACAAGGAAUGUACCAGCAAUCAAGAUAAACAAAUUAUUCCUCAAUAUCUUGAGUAAAACAAAGUGACAUUCUUUAUCCACUAGAGAUUCGAGUUGCAGAAUGCAAAAUAAAAAAGAAUAUUUUAUCUUUGCAGCAUCUACAACAAAGGAUCCAUUUCUUAAAAAGUUAGCUAAGUUCUAUAAUUUAUAUAGAAAGAACAUUUUACAUUGACAUUGUAUAAAUUUAGAAUCUAUACAUGUAUACAGGAUAUUUAACGAGAGGUGAGAAAUAAAGAUUUUUUUUCUUA